AUUGAACGCUGGCGGCAUGCUUUACACAUGCAAGUCGGACGAGUGGCGGACGGGUGAGUAAUAUAUCGGAACGUACCGAGUAAUGGGGGAUAACUAAUGGAAAGGUUAGCUAAUACCGCAUACUAUUCGAUGGGCCGAUAUCGGAUUAGCUAGUUGGGGGGGUAAAGGCCCACCAAGGCGACGAUCAGUAGCGGGUCUGAGAGGAUGAUCCGCCAACCUGGGACUGAGACACGGCCCAGACUCCUACGGGAGGCAGCAGUGGGGAAUAUUGGACAAUGGGCGCAAGCCUGAUCCAGCCAUGCCGCGUGUCUGAAGAAGGCCUUCGGGUUGUAAAGGACUUUUGUCAGGGAAGCGGUACCUGAAGAAUAAGCACCGGCUAACUACGUGCCAGCAGCCGCGGUAAUUC
rnacentral:rRNA from 1 species